rnacentral:lncRNA from 1 species
UUUUUGCUUCCUCUUCUAUGUUGCCUCUUUGUUUUUGGUGAAACUCCUCAUUGAUGGAUGUCCUGUUUUGGGUCAGUUAUGCCUCUAUUCUCAUGAAUAUACAAAUUUCUCUUAUAGCACAUGAUAUGUAUCUUAACCAAGGUAAAUUUAUUCUUCUUCUUUAACUGUUAUGAAUCUUGCUUCCAUCACCAACUCUGGUUGUAUGUGUAGGCAGGUGGGUUAUGUAGAUUGUGAAGGUUGUUUGAUGAGGAGAAAGCCAACCGAAGCUGCUUCCAGAGGUAUUCUUUUUCCUACUCUUCUAAUUUACUCACAAAACAUCAACAGCUUACUCAAAAAAUCACUUGUUUGAUAGGUUUGUUGUUGUAUCAACAUCUAGGCUUAUUGCUGACUUUCUUUAAUCAUUUGCUCAAGAUGAUGUCGUUCCCCUUUGCUUUUGGUGAUGUAUUUUGUGCUAACUUUAAUUAGCUAUCUGAUUAGCAGUUCUAGAUCCUGGAUUUAGGAACACCUAAUGUAAAUAUUGUAGCUGCUUAGAAUUUGCACCUUUAGGUGCUCUAUCACUGUUUCCCAAACUCUGCAUGUGGCUUUAUGUACUUAGUGCUUAUCUGUAAUGAUAGUAUUUUCGC